rnacentral:rRNA from 1 species
AUACGGAGGGUGCAAGCGUUAUCCGGAAUCAUUGGGUUUAAAGGGUCCGCAGGCGGAUUAAUAAGUCAGUGGUGAAAUCCUCUCGCUCAACGAGAGAACUGCCAUUGAAACUGUUAGUCUUGAAUUCGGUCUAAGUAGGCGGAAUGUGUCAUGUAGCGGUGAAAUGCAUAGAUAUGACACAGAACACCGAUAGCGAAGGCAGCUUACUAGACCUGGAUUGACGCUCAUGGACGAAAGCGUGGGGAGCAAACAGGAUUAGAAACCCCAGUAGUCC